rnacentral:rRNA from 1 species
AUGAAUCCCGCAUCGGCCCCUGGGCCUGAUGGUCUUCCGGUGCGCUUCUUCCAGACCUUCUAGUCCUCCAUUAAGGAGGAUUUUAUGGGACUCUUCCAUGAGCUGGCUUAGGGUGUUUUGGACCUCUCACGGCUGAACUACGGGAUCGUCACCCUCAUCCCGAAGGUGCAGGGAGUGUCAGAUAUUCAGCAGUUCUGGCCAAUCACGGUCAUCAAUGUGAUUUUCCGGAUUAUGGCCAAGGGGUACGCCAGUAGGGAGGCCCUUAUAGCCCCGCGAAUCACCCAUCCAAAUCAGACGACCUUCAUCAAAGGUCGCCUAAUUCUCGAUGGGAUUCUUGUCCUUCAUGAGGUUAUUCAUGAGGUCAAGUCUAGGUGCCUGCGUGCAGUGUUAUUCAAGAUCGACUUCCACAAGGCGCAUGACACGGUCCAUUGGUUCUUCCUUCGGGAGGUGUUAUACAGGAAGGGUUUUGACCCGCGUUGGAUCAAAGGGUGA